rnacentral:misc_RNA from 1 species
UAGAGUUCUAAAAAACUCCCAAACCCAUGUGGACAUACCUCAAGUUGCCUCGGCAGGUCGCGCCCACCUGGAACAGCCCUACCCUGUAGGGCCUACCCGGCAAGCGCGGGUCAGCCUGCCAGUGGACCAACAAACUCUGUUUAUUAUUGAAUUCUGAACCUAUAACUUAAUAAGUUA